rnacentral:rRNA from 1 species
UACGUAGGGGGCGAGCGUUGUCCGGAGUUACUGGGCGUAAAGGGCGUGCAGGCGGUGCGGUAAGUUUAGCGUGACAGUCUCCGGCUUAACUGGAGAAGGCCGCUGAAAACUGCUGGACUUGAGGGCCACAGAGGGACAUGGAACUCCAGGUGUAGUGGUGAAAUGCGUAGAUAUCUGGAAGAACACCAAAGGCGAAGGCAGUGUCCUGGGUGGUCGCUGACGCUGAGAGGCGAAAGCCAGGGGAGCGAACGGG